AAGAAAAUCCAAAAAAAUUAGAAAACUCGCUCUCUGUUUCCCCUCAUUUGCACUAGGCGUGUUCUUUUCCCCAUAACCAUGGCCGCUCUUUCUCCCCCUCCCUACAUCGAGUGCUUCAUUUAGAGUUUGCAGUGAAAUAUGAUGAUAUUUUCGGAGCUGGUUUAUAGGGGUUCAUUCACAACCAUCUGGAGGAGAUCGCUACCGGAAAAGUGAUCUCUGGUUGGUUCCUUUAUUACCCUCACCAUUGUUUCACAACUUCACGACCUCCGCCGUCAUCACAAGAUUUGAUGCUAAAUAUUCUCAUUCUCUCGAUAUCCACUGCACCGUGCAUCCAUACAUCAAAUCACUAUAUCAUUCUUUCACCAUCUUGAACCCUAGAUCCCCGUCCCCAGCCUUCUUUCAGCAUAUGUCCCGUGAUUUUGAUAUAUAAGUUUGGCGUUUCUGUUGCAAUGCUUGUUAAUUUUGUCAGAUUAUGUGUUCUUCGCUUUAGGCAAUGGAGUCUCACUAAGGAUUUUUUUAAAGCUGGGGCCAGGGCAACUCGCAUUUUUAUCUUCAUACUCUAGUUGCUUUUGAAGCGCCUGAGGUGAAAAUGGCAUUAAUUGCUUCAAAGAACAAACGCGUGAAAAGUGAUCUGACUAUAGAAAGAAUCGAUGAUGCUAAGAACGUCAUUUUCACAGCUCAACUACCUUCAAAAAAGGUGAGAAAUUUUCUUCACAUCUAAAGACUUUCGGUCAUUACAAAAGCCAAAAUGAACCAGCAAAGAACAAGAAGAUUUAGAAAUUCCAAAGACCACAAGACACUUGUACGUUUUUCUCCUACAUUACAUGCUUCUUCGUACACAUUUAAUUGAAAUAACUCUAGUAGAAAGCUGUAGAAAUGAUUUUCUUUCGCCUAUGCCAACCUUGGAAAUUCCUGAGGAUUGAAUGCCUUUUCAUUUUAGCUAUUUUGCUUCAAGGAAAUUUUGAUGAUGACCAAAUACAAAGAUGAAAAUUGCUAGAGUUUACCAAAAAGUGUAUCGAAAGUCCAAAUUCUGAAUUUUUAUCAUUCUUGAUCAGAGUGCUAUUGAUCUAUUGAUUUAUGUGUACAGGCACGAGUUUAAGAAACUUGGAGGGUAUAUUGUGAAUAUGGAAAAGGUUAGUGAUGAAAAAGGAGGGUAACGGAGAAGAUGAUUUGUUUCCACAAGAGCAAACUUCGAUACAUGUUAUCAGAAGUCAAGGAUAAGAGUGGUAACAGAGAAGACGAUUUGUUUCCUGUGAGUAGAAGGGAUCGUCUGUUGGUUCUGAUGUUGGGUCACCAUACACCGAAAAAUCACCCAAUCAUCAUGUGCAAUUUUCUCAGAUAGUCGAGAAUACAAAAACAUUGAAGGAGAGAUUAAAAUCUUACAUGCGUGAGAUAUCGAAUAAUUUCAUAAACGGUCUUCUUUCGGACAUUGUAGCUAGGGAUCGUUCUUGUGAGCAUUCCUUAUUUUCAGGCUGUAGAUUAUCACUACUAAGCAACAGUUAAACAAAAUUUUGUCAGGUGAAACUAGAGGCGCAGGAAUAAAAUAAGUGAAAGAAUAAGAACCCUCUGGACACUUGUUCCCAACUGCAACAAGAGAGAGAAAGCAAGUAUUCUAGGCGAUGCAAUUGAGUAUAUCAAAUUUCUGCAAAUGCAAGUUCAUGUAUUUCUGUUUAUCAUAGUAGUACCUGAGUUAAUAAAUGUUGUAUUCUUUCCGACUUCUUCUUGUUGGUUGUUGGUUGUCAUUUUAUUUUAUUUUGUUUCAGUCCUUGGCACUUCUCGCUGAUUAUCUGGAUACAAAAGACGCUUCCUCUAAGACAUGGAGCAAACAUGCCCUUGGUCAGAUUGUUUCAAGAAUCAGGCUUUCUCAUUCCAAAAAGUGCUCUAUUGGCGUUCUCUCAUCCUUAGAUGUUUUCUUCUUGUUUCCUUUGUUAACUGCACCUAGUGAGCAUCCUCGUGUCUACAGGUGUAAUGCAAGUUUGUUAUGAGAUAGGUGUUAGAUCUUUAGUCAACAUUGACAAGUGAAGUAAGCUGGUCAACAUAUUGACAAAUUGCAAUUUAUAAAAAAGUUUUCAUCUUGUUUGUACUCAUGUCCUUUUCUGAUAAAACCAGUGCACUUCCGAUACAUUAAUCACUUUUAAAUCUUCCAAGACCAUCUACUAAGGUAAAGCUUUAAUUAUAUCAUCUACAGUGUAUGCUGACUAAAUUACCAUUUUACCCCUACGUGGUAGUUUCUAACACUUGUCUAUUCCAUCCUCUCUCAAUGCAGGGCUGAACUUUAAAUGUAAAUGAUGAAUUUUGCAUUCACUGUUAAUUAGUAGAUGAGAUACUCUUUAGUAACACUCCUCUUUUCUAAUGGGUACCAACUAGAUUUACCAAAACAUUGGCUGAAAAUUUUGCAACAAAAUCCAUAGGGGUAAAAAAGUCAUCAUCAAGAUUUCUUUUUGGGUACGAAUAUAAGCUUAAGCACAUCAAGAUGCCCUUCACUUCUCACUUCUUAUUGCUUUCUAUGCCUUUUGAAAAUCUGGGCUUCAUCGAUCGGGUGUCCAUAAAUAAAACUUUCCAUCAUAAGCUUUUCACUCUUCUUUUGCUCAUGCAUCAAGAAAGUUGAUGUUAGAUAGUUUAUUAUUAUUAUAUUAUUUUCUAGUUGUCAUUCUAUUCCAUCCAACGAAAUAGGUUCCUGAAUUUAUCCAAUAUUUUGAUUUAAGUUAUAACAAAUGUUGUUGAAAUGAAACAUGGACCUUUGGCUUUACUUGAUGAAAACCUUUCAAGUGUUGCCAUUGCUACUCAUGAUCAAUGCUUCAGGUUUGUUAUUAAUUUUUAUUAAUUUCUUUGGUUAUGACAAUCAGCUCAAGGAACCAAAGGGGGUUCAAGUGGGUCCCCAGUUGUUGAUUAGCAAGGACGAGCUGUUGCCUUAAAUGCUGGAAGUAAAUCUUCAAGCGCUUUAGCAUUCUUCUUACCUUUAGAACGAGUGGUUACGGCUCUAAAUUUCUUACAGAUGGGAAAAUAUUCAUUUCAAGAUAAAUGGGAAGCUGUUACAAUACCACGUGGCACCCUCAGACAACAUUUAUCCACAAAGGAUUCGAUGAAACCUGUAGAAUCAGUCUUCAAAAUCAAACAGAGCAGUAGCAGCCACUACUUUUGAUUGGAUCAUCAUCACUUCACCUAAAGCCGAGAUAGAGAAGGAGAUGGAUAUUGAGAAUAUGGAUGAUGAAACUGAGUUUCCAGAGCAUAAAGAGGAGCAUGGGCUAGGGUUACAUACUGUUGAUAUAGUGAUGGAAGAAAAUGCACAUGGUGAUGAUGUAAAUCAAAGUAAUGAAAAAGAUGAAGACGCUUCGGAGGCUGGAAAUGAACUUGUAGGAGUUGUCUCAGAUGAGAAUUUAUUGGAACUUCUGGAGUUAGCAAUGUCAUCAAACACAGCUGAAACUGUGAAAAGAGCCAGAGAACUGAUGGAAUUGGGAGUUUACCUUAUCGUCCUCAUGUCUCAAAUGGCUACACUUAUUAUGGACAUUAUUGCUGGAACAUAUCAAGUAAUUGAAGCUAGUGCUGACUCAUUGUUUGAUGGUAGAAGCUAUUGUAGCCUCGGAAUCCAUAUGAGACACUGAAGCAGUUGCAAGUUCUCAGGCUGCUGAAAUUGGGCUUGAUAUUCUAGCACAAACAAUCCAGGAUGAUUUAGAUAACAUAACUCGUUUUCUAAUACUAGCAAGAGAACCUAUAAUCCCAGGAAUUGACAAGCCCCAUAAGUUUUGCAGACGAGCAUUGUGUUUACAUUAGAAGAAGGCCCUAGGGUCUUGUUCAAUGCUUUAGCUGUGUUUGCUCUAAGGGAUAUAAACUUAUCAAAAGUAAGAUAUUUUUUUCACCCUUUUAUUUAAUAUAUUUGUGAUUGAAUGAAAGUAAUUGACAACCCUUUUUCUGUAAAUGAUGUUGUGAUUGUGGGAGAGGUGUUGUGUUUUUCUCUGUUGCUAGGUAACCUUCUCAAUAACAACAUUCUACUUAAGCAGGUGAGUAAUCAAGAUUAAGGGAGACCUGUAAUCAUGUUUGGCAUUCCUUUCCAGAAAGAAACAGAGUUGUAUGAUUAUUUGUUAGUUUUAUAGGAAUGUAUAACCCACGUUAGCAAUGUAUUAUUUUUGUUUAACAUUUGAAUGAUUCUUUGUAUGACAUUA